GCUUUUUUUUGUAAUGAUAUAAACCAAGCCUAAACUUAUCAUAAUUUUUGUUGUUAUUAUUAAUAAUUACAUAAUAUUGCAAAAACCCACGAAGAACAUGUUAUACAUAACCGAAAAAGAAGUUUUAACCUUAUUAAACUGGGACGAAAUCUUUAAAGCGAUCGAAAUCGCAUUAAAAAGUGUAACAAAAAAGCGGGUAAUUCAAAAUCCUCGUUCAUUGACCCAAAUACCAGAAACCCAAAACAUCCUCUUUUCGAUGCCAGGAUUUAUUGGAAAUAACGCCGAAAUUAACGCUUUAGCAUGUAAAUUGGUUACUUCGUUCCCCGAGAACACCAAAAAAGGAUUACCAUCGAUUUUAGCAAACAUUUUACUUUUUAAUCAAGAAACGGGACAACUUCAAGCGGUUAUUGACGCCACUGAGAUCACUUCUUGGAGAACUGCGGCUGCCUCGGCUGUUGCAACUAAAUAUUUAACAAUGAAUAAACCGAAAAAGGAAAUUUUGGCAAUAUUAGGAAGUGGAAUACAAGCGAAAAUUCACAUCUUAGCGUUCCAACAUUUUUUCAAAUUCAAAAAGGUGAAGAUUUGGGGAAGAACCCAAAAAAAUGUUGAAAAAUUAAUACAAGAAUUGGGGCUAAAUGAAAUCGAAUUAGUUUCUGAUCCAAAAAGUUGCGUUGAAAACGCCGAUGUUGUUAUAACAACAACUUACGCUAAAGAGCCAAUUUUAAAGUUUGAGUGGUUAAAAAGUGGUUAUCACAUUUGCGCCGUUGGUGCUGGAAGUAAUCCGAUGGAAAUUGAUUUGGAAACGUAUCAGAAUGCUCACGUUUAUGUUGAUCAUUUAUCUGGGGCGAAAGAGGAGUUAAAACAUUUACUCGAAAAAGGGGUUGUUUUUAAAAACGAAAUUGGUGCUUUAAUUGAAAAGAUUGAACCUUAUCCUGUUAAUCAACAAAAUACGGUUUUUCAAAGUUUGGGAAUGGCCGUAGAAGAUUGCGUUGUCGCUCAAUUAAUUUAUUCUAAGUUUAUUAAUAAGAAUAAUUAAUUAAAAUAAUUUUAAAAAAUUAAAUUAGUUAGGUAGCGCCAUCUCUUGGUUCUUAUUUGAAUCGCCUUAUUAAACCAGAGGUGGCGUUGAUUUAUAACUUGGCGUCUUUUAAAAUAAUUGACGAUCAGAAAACCAACAAUCGUCGCCAUUACAACAACGAAAGUUUUAAUUAUAGUUAAUCUAAUUUUGUUUAAGUUUGGUUUAAUCAAAUUCAGUGUUUAGUUCUGUAAAGUUAUCAAUAAUCACGUUUUUUUUAAUUUGGUGUUUGAAAAGGGACAAAAACGUUAAUUUCCCUUAGUUGCGAUUGUAGGUUGCUUAGCAACGAAAACUUGUUCGGGCAAAAACAUCGCAGUUUUUUUUUAACCGGCUGUUCUUGUGUUGAAAGUUAGAUAAUGUAAAUCAGAUUAUUUUAUUCGCGUUUGAAGCCAAUUUAAAGAGUAAGUAAUACGAAAUAAA